GAUGAACGCUGGCGGCGUGCCUAAUACAUGCAAGUAGAACGCUGAAGGAAGGAGCUUGCUCUUUCCGGAUGAGUUGCGAACGGGUGAGUAACGCGUAGGUAACCUGCCUGGUAGCGGGGGAUAACUAUUGGAAACGAUAGCUAAUACCGCAUAACAGUAGAUGUUGCAUGAUAUCUACUUAAAAGGUGCAAUUGCACCACUACCAGAUGGACCUGCGUUGUAUUAGCUAGUUGGUGAGGUAACGGCUCACCAAGGCGACGAUACAUAGCCGACCUGAGAGGGUGAUCGGCCAAACUGGGACUGAGACAAGGCCCAGACUCCUACGGGAGGCAGCAGUAGGGAAUCUUCGGCAAUGGACGGAAGUCUGACCGAGCAACGCCGCGUGAGUGAAGAAGGUUUUCGGAUCGUAAAGCUCUGUUGUAAGAGAAGAACGAGUGUGAGAGUGGAAAGUUCACACUGUGACGGUAUCUUACCAGAAAGGGACGGCUAACUACGUG
rnacentral:rRNA from 1 species